rfam:Bombyx mori DNA, contig: Bm_scaf641_contig44076, strain: p50T/Dazao, build 2, whole genome shotgun sequence.
UUAACUCAAAUUUGUAUGGAGUUGCAACCGUUACCUACGUUUGCCGCUAGGGGCGCUGUUCAAACUGCAUACAAAUUUGAAUUA